CAUCACCACUAUUAGAGGCACUGCCUGCCCAGUGACAUGAGUUAAACGGCCGCGGUAUCCUGACCGUGCAAAGGUAGCAUAAUCAUUUGUUCCUUAAUUAGGGACUUGUAUGAAUGGCCCCACGAGGGUUUAACUGUCUCUUACUUUUAAUCAGUGAAAUUGACCUUCCCGUGAAGAGGCGGGAAUGCAAAAAUAAGACGAGANGACCCUAUGGAGCUUAAAUUAAUAUUGUUCAACAAAACUUAAACUCUACCCGACAGRAAAUAAUUCCAAUUAAACUGAACAACUAAUUUUGGUUGGGGUGACCUCGGAGUAUAACAAAACCUCCGAGCGAUUUUAACUAAGACUUACCCGUCAAAGUCACAUAACUUAUUGAUCCAAUCAUAUUGAUCAACGGMACAAGUUACCCUAGGGAUAACAGCGCAAUCCUAUUUGAGAGUUCAUAUCGACAAUAGGGUUUACGACCUCGAUGUUGGAUCAGGACACCCAAAUGGUGCAGCAGCUAUUAAAGGU
rnacentral:rRNA from 1 species